ACUUCCUCUCUUUCCCUGCACCUGCAAAUCAAACCUUCUUCCAUUUUUAGAGAUGUGAACGAGUUUACAGUUGGAUGGAACGAACAUUUAUUAACCCCUUGGUAAAAUUUUACAAAAUUAAGCACAAAUAGGAGAGUGCUUUUGUCGGAAACUUUACAGCAAUAUCUAAGGGAGAAUUCCCUUCCGCCAUCUUAAGAGUGUUUGUGUACAUGGAGGGAAUUGAAUAGCCUUUCUUUUUCUGGCAUUUUGG
rnacentral:misc_RNA from 1 species